AUGAGCGGUUGUAUAUGGACCUAUUGUCUAGUGUUGCCUCUAUAAUCUAGUGGUUCACGACAUCUCUCUUUCAAGGAGUCAGCGGGGAUUUGAAUUCCCCUAGCGGUUGGGAGUAUUAUGAAACGAGGUUAA
rnacentral:tRNA from 1 species